GGAACCUAUAAAUACAGAACAGCAAGAUCAAAACAACCAAGAUCAAAAUCAUACUCAUUAUUGGGGUGGUGGCCUUCUUCAAUGAUGGCACACCUAGCGGUUAAGGAUGACAACCAGAUUAUAAUCAUCCUCUUUGUACAUCACACAAUAUUAUGCUUAUUUAUCACUGCUGAACCAUGAAGUGCAUUUGUAUUGCCUGCUAACCAAGCAACGGGGCAGAGAAUUAACACCAAAUCUAUUUUCAUUUUUAUUUUUGUGUAAAAGGCAAACACAUCCUGCAGCCUUUACAAGAGGUGAAUAGUAGAACUGCAACAUAGAGCCAGAAAAAGAGACAUGGGAUUAGAGGCAUUGUGCAUGCUGAAAGCAAGGGGGGACCAGACAAAAUUAGAUGUGUGUGUUUGGGUGCAGUGACUCACAGAGACUGGGUAGGCUUGCGGGUUUUGGCUUGUGUUUCAUCAGUCACGGGAGCAGAGGGCUCCUACUAAAUAGGGAAGAAGGAAGAAUAAAGAUGAAAAGCCAGGGUGGAUCAUCUCACUAAAGGUGGCUGAGGGUGUAAGAAUGGUUGGGUGCGGCUCUGGAGGCUUGACUGGUGCAGAGUUAUGAGGGUGGAGGAGGAAAGGAGACUGGUCCGAGAGCUGUUUUAGGGAGCACUGCCUAAAGACAGCAGAAGAGACUUGCUUAUCCCGAGAUCGUAUCUUUUAAUUCAGCUCUGAAUCGUGUGGGAAGGCAGUGGAAGCAGUGGAACAGUAGGAGCGCACCAGAGGAGCAGUUGGAGAGCUGGAAGUACAGAGCCACUGGAUACAGACCCUCUCCGCUCUUCCUUAACCUUACGGACGUGUGUCCAGUGCAAGUCGGCCUUUAUUUCCAUGGGGUCGACAGGAGUGAGGGAUUGCUGGAGCCUGAGGUUCCCAGCUGGACAGAAAAGCACGGAAUGGAGGAAGCAGAAGAGCAAAAGGACAGACAUCGCCCAAGGAGGGGACAACCUUAGGUACAUUGGAAUGGUUUCAGGACACGGGAAGAACCUCACCUGCUGGCCACCUCUUCCACCUCCCCUUUAU